GAUGAACGCUAGCUACAGGCUUAACACAUGCAAGUCGAGGGGCAGCAUGACUGAGGUUUACCUUAGUUGAUGGCGACCGGCGAAUGGGUGAGUAACACGUAUCCAACCUGCCCGUUACUGGAGGAUAGCCCUCCGAAAGGAGAAUUAAUACUCCAUGUUGUGCUGAAUUCGCAUGUUUUCGGCACUAAAGAUUCAUCGGUAACGGAUGGGGAUGCGUCCGAUUAGGUAGUAGGCGGGGUAACGGCCCACCUAGCCUUCGAUCGGUAGGGGUUCUGAGAGGAAGGUCCCCCCANAUUGGAACUGAGACACGGUCCAAACUCCUACGGGAGGCAGCAGU
rnacentral:rRNA from 1 species